AGGGCUGUUGGAGGACCUUCUGCCCCAUAGAACCUGACUUGGGGUCCUCCAGACCCGUUGGAGGUCCUCCCGCCUGUUGGAGGUCCUCCAGACCCGUUGGAGGUCCUCCUGCCCCAUAGAACCUGACUUGGGGUCCUCCAGACCCAUUGGAGGUCCUCCCGCCUGUUGGAGGUCCUCCAGACCCGUUGGAGGUCCUCCUGCCCCAUAGAACCUGACUUGGGGUCCUCCAGACCCGUUGGAGGUCCUCCUGCCCCAUAGAUGUCCUCUAGGCCCAUAGAUCCUGACUUGGGGUCCUCCAGACCCGUUGGAGGUCCUCCAGACCCAUCGGAGGUCCUCCCGCCUGUUGGAGGUCCUCCAGACCCAUUGGAGGUCCUCCAGAGCCGUUGGAGGUCCUCCUGCCCCAUAGAUCCUGACUUGGGGUCCUCCAGACCCAUUGGAGGUCCUCCAGCCCCAUUGGAGGUCCUCCUGCCCCAUAGAUCCUGACUUGGGGUCCUCCAGCCCCACUGGAGGUCCUCCUGCCCCACACAUUGCCAAUCGGGGUCCUCCAGCCCCAUUGGAGGUCCUCCUGCCCCAUAGAUCCUGACUGGAGGUCCUCCAGCCCCAUAGAUCUCCAUUGGAGGACUGACUUACGAGGUCAUCCUGCCCCACAGGAGGACUUCCCCCAAGUCCUCCAACACCCCAUAACC